rnacentral:lncRNA from 1 species
UAACUUUUCACUGUGUACUUCUCAGACUCUUAGACCCGAGGAGGAAAAGGAAAUGAACCACAGAUAGCAAAGAGGUCUACCCUCAGCCACACAAUAAUUAUGGGGAAGAUCGAGGGUUUCCUGUUCUUGGCCUGGCCCACUGAGCCAUUUUGUCUCGAGAGCACAAGAAGGCAGAGCAGCAGGCAGAGGGAGAAGCCGGCUCUCCACCAAGCAGAGAGCCCCAUGCGGGACUCCA